GAUGAACGCUGGCGGCGUGCCUAAUACAUGCAAGUCGAGCGAACAGACGAGGAGCUUGCUCCUCUGACGUUAGCGGCGGACGGGUGAGUAACACGUGGAUAACCUACCUAUAAGACUGGGAUAACUUCGGGAAACCGGAGCUAAUACCGGAUAAUAUAUUGCACCGCAUGGUUCCAUAGUGAAAGUCGGUUUUGCUGUCACUUAUAGAUGGACCCGCGCCGCAUUAGCUAGUUGGUAAGGUAACGGCUUACCAAGGCAACGAUGCGAAACCGACCUGAAAGGGUGAUCGGCCACACGGGAUGAGAGACUCGUUCCAGACUCCGGCAGUGGGCCGCAGUAGGGAAUCUUCCGCGAUGGGCGAAAGCCUGACGGAGCAACGCCGCCGGAGUGAUGAAGGUGUUCGGAUCGGAAAACGCUGUUAUUAGGAAAGAACUAAAGUGUAAGUAACUAUGCACGUCUUGACGGUACCUAGACAGAAAGCCACGGCUAACUACGUG
rnacentral:rRNA from 1 species